GAGCAGAUGACCCUUUGUGGCACCCUCAGGGCCCCAACGGCUGGGUAAACCAGAUCACUGCUACUCCACAGUUCCUGAACAUGAUCCUGUCCACCUCUCAAGACAAGAGCAUCAUUAUGUAGAAACUGAGCAGGGAAGAUACCAACUAUGGCAUCCCACAACAUGCUCUGUGGGGUCACUCCCACUUUUUUAGUGACUUGGUCAUCUCUUCAGAUGGUCAGAUUGCCCUCUCAGGCUCCUUGGAUGGAACCCCGUACCUCUAAGAUUUCACAGUGGGCAUCACCAUGAGACAAUUUGUGGGCCAUACCAAGGACGUGCUGAAUGUGGCCUCCCCUGACAACCAGCAGAUUACCUGUGGAUCAUGAGAUAAAACCAUCAAGUUAUAGAAUACCCUGGGGGUCUCACAGCAUACACUGUCUAGUAUGAGAGUCACAGAGUGGGUGUCUUGUGUUCGCUUCUUGCCUAACAGCAACAACCCUAUCACUGUCUCCUGUAGCUGGGACAAGCUGGUCAAGGUAUAUGGAAUCUGGCUAACUGCAAGCUGAAGACCAACCACAUUGGCCACACAGGUUAUCUGAACACUGUGACUAUCUCUCCAAAUGGAUCCCUGUGUGCAUCUGGAGGCAAGGAUGGCCAGGCCAUGCUAUGAGAUCUCAACGAAGGCAAACACCUUUAUAUGCCAGAUGGUGGGGGCAUUAUCAACACCCUGUGCUUCAGCCCCAACUGCCACUGGCUCUGUGCUGCCAUGGGCCUCAGCAUCAAGAUCUGGGACUUAGGGGUAAAUAUCAUCAUAGAUGAACUGAAGCAAGAAGUUAUUAGUACUGGCAGCAAGGCAGAACCACCCCAGUGUACCUCCCUGGCCUGGUCUGUUGAUGGUCAUUUGUUUGCUGACUACACAGACAACCUGGUGUGAGUGUGGCAGGUGACAUGGGCACCUGCUAGAAGUUUAUGGCACAGCUUUAGAAAUUAAAAAACAAACAAACUGG